rnacentral:rRNA from 1 species
UUGACCUCGGAUCAGGUAGGGAUACCCGCUGAACUUAAGCAUAUCACUAAGCGGAGGAAAAGAAACCAACAGGGAUUGCCUCAGUAACGGCGAGUGAAGCGGCAACAGCUCAAAU